rnacentral:rRNA from 1 species
CAGAACGAACGCUGGCGGCGUGCUUAACACAUGCAAGUCGAACGCGAAAGGGACUUCGGUCCUGAGUAAAGUGGCGCACGGGUGAGUAACGCGUGGAUAAUCUACCCAAUGGUCUGGGAUAACAUUUCGAAAGGGGUGCUAAUACCGGAUAAGACCACGGAGUCUUUGGACUCUGCGGUAAAAGGUGGGGACCUUCGGGCCUACCGCAAUUGGAUGAGUCCGCGUACCAUUAGCUAGUUGGUAGGGUAAAGGCCUACCAAGGCGACGAUGGUUAGCUGGUCUGAGAGGAUGAUCAGCCACACUGGAACUGAGACACGGUCCAGACUCCUACGGGAGGCAGCAGUGGGGAAUUUUGCGCAAUGGGGGAAACCCUGACGCAGCAACGCCGCGUGAGUGAUGAAGGCCUUCGGGUCGUAAAGCUCUGUCAGAGGGGAAGAAAUGCGGGGUGCUAAUAUCACUUCCGCUUGACGGUACCCUCAAAGGAAGCACCGGCUAACUCCGUGCCAGCAGCCGCGGUAAUACGGAGGGUGCGAGCGUUGUUCGGAAUUAUUGGGCGUAAAGCGCGUGUAGGCGGUUUGUUAAGUCUGAUGUGAAAGCCCCGGGCUCAACCUGGGAAGUGCAUUGGAAACUGGCAGACUUGAAUACGGGAGAGGGCAGUGGAAUUCCUAGUGUAGGAGUGAAAUCCGUAGAUAUUAGGAGGAACACCGGUGGCGAAGGCGGCUGCCUGGACCGAUAUUGACGCUGAGACGCGAAAGCGUGGGGAGCAAACAGGAUUAGAUACCCUGGUAGUCCACGCCGUAAACGAUGAGUACUAGGUGUUGCGGGUAUUGACCCCUGCAGUGCCGCAGCUAACGCAUUAAGUACUCCGCCUGGGAAGUACGGCCGCAAGGCUAAAACUC